rnacentral:tRNA from 1 species
GUAGCGCAAUGGAUAGCGCGUUGGACUCCUAAUCUGAAAGGUCAUGGGUUCGAAUCCCACCU